rnacentral:lncRNA from 1 species
CCAAUUGGCCACUUGAUCGCCAUGGUAGAGCUAGGCAAGCUCAUACUCACCCACCACCCUUCUCUGUGCAUCCACAUCCUCAUCACCACCCCGCCCUACCGCGCCGACGACACCGCUUCAUACAUCACCUCCGUCUCCGCCGCUACCCCUUCCCUCAUCUUCCACCACCUCCCCACCAUCUCCCUUCCUCCCUCCCUCGCCUCCUCCCGCAACCACGAAACCCUAACCUUCGAACUCGUCCCCCUCAACAACCCUUACGUCCACCAAGCC